rnacentral:rRNA from 1 species
UUUCACCCAAGUCAAAUUUUUGGUGAUCUGCCAGAUCGAAUACCAAUAGAAGAUUAUGCCCCUGAAAUUCGAAGUGAAUUUAGAAGAGCUUAUUUGUUGAAAGGAAGAAACAAAGCUGAAGGGCAUAAUUUUGAAAUCACAUUGGAUGCUACAAUCCGGAGAUCUUUUCAACCACAAUGGCUAGAUAGGUUUGAUUGGUUGGAAUAUAGUGUGAAAAAGGAGGCUGCCUAUUGCUUCCAUUGUUUUCGUUUUAAUUGGAAAACAACUUUGGCAAAUUUUCAAAAACAUAUUGGUGGUCCAUCUAGUUACCAUAAUAACGCUAUAGGCUUGUGUGAUGAUUUCAAGAAUCAAAGGGCAAAUGUGGCAACCAGAUUCCGUGUUUACAAUAAAGAGGCCGAGAUAGCCUACAAAAUCCGUUUGACUGCAUCCUUAGAUUGUGCAAGGUAUCUCAUAGCACAAGGGGAAGCUUUCCGUGGGCAUGAUGAAUCCUUCAAUUCAAUCAACAAAGGGAAUUUUAGGGAGCUCUUGGAUUGGUACAAGUGCAAGCGGAAAGUUGUGGAGGAGGCGUUUGAUAAGGGGCAAGAUAAUGCACUUAUGAUAUGUGGAGAAAUUCAAAAGGAUCUUGCUGCAUGUUGCGCAAUGGAGGUAACCAAAGUCAUCAAGAGUGUGCUUGGACAUAAGAAAUUUUCAGUUCUAGUCGAUGAGGCUAGGGAUUGCUCAGUAAAGGAGCAAAUGGCAGUGAUUUUGAGAUUUUUGGAUGAUCACGGGGUGCUUCAGGAGAGAUUUCUUGCAAUCAAGCACAUCUCUGAUUGUACAUCUGCUGGAAUUAAAGAAGCCUUGGUUGAUCUGUUAGCUUACCAUGGCUUGCUUAUUUCUAGACUACGUGGGCAGGGUUACGAUGGAGCUUCAAAUAUGAGAGGAGAAUUCAAUGGUUUGCAAAAGUUGAUUCGAGAUGAGAGUCCAUAUGCUUUCUAUGUACACUGCUUUGCCCAUCAAUUACAGUUGGUAGUUGUCAGAGUUGCUCAAUGUUGUCCAAAUGCAGUGGUCGAUGUGCUAGCAAUCGUGGUCGACGAUGCACGAGAACACACUUAUCAAGGUGGAGCUUCAGGUUUGAUCAUAAAGAUGGAAUGUUUCCAAUUUGUGUUUAUCAUGUUAUUCUUAAUAAACUUGUUUCAAACCACAAAUAUGCUAUCACAAGCUUUGCAAAGGAAGAAACAAGAUGUUGUUGAAGCCAUGCAUUUGAUCUCGGAUGUGAAAGAAACUUUGCAGGAUAUGAGGGACAAUGGAUAUGAGUCAUUAUGCAGCCAAGCCAAGAUCUUUUGUGAGGAACAUGGCAUUGAUGUGCCAAAUAUGGAUGAUCUUGUUGGAGCUAUGGGUCAAUUUGUUCGCACUUAAAAUAAGGUGACUCGACAUCAUUAUUUCAAAGUUAGCAUAUUCUAUGUUGUUAUUGAUGCAACUAUGACCGAGAUGAACCAUCGGUUCAAUGAAAUUAACACCGAGCUAGUGGAUUGCAUGUCUUGUCUUAAUCCAGCCAACAACUUUGCAAAGUUUAAUGUUGACAAACUUAUCCGGCUUGCUGAAAUUUAUGCGGAUGAUUUUACACAAACUGACCGGUUGUUGCUUAGAAUUGACCUUCCAAGAUUCCUUAGAAAUAUCAGGAGAAGUGAGGAAUUUAAUGGAUGUUCGGAUGUUUCCACCCUUGCUCAGUUGAUGGUUCAAUCAACAAAACAUGCAACUUUCCCAACAGUAUAUCGCCUCAUCGAGUUGACAUUGAUCCUCCCCGUGGCAACUUCAUCUGUUGAGUGAAUUUUUUCAGCUAUGAAGAUCAUCAAAACGGAUUUGCGCAAUAAGAUCUCGGAUGAUUGGCUCAAUGACUUAAUGGUGUGCUAUUGUGAGAAAAGGAUAUUCAAAAGUAUUCAUGAUGAUCAGAUCAUGAUACAAUUCCAGAAAAAGAGUGAUCGGAAAGCUCACUUGCCUCGUGAGUAUAAUGUGAUUGCUUAA